rnacentral:rRNA from 1 species
UACGUAGGGGGCAAGCGUUGUCCGGAUUUAUUGGGCGUAAAGCGCGUGUAGGCGGCUUGGUAGGUCAGCUGUGAAAACUCGAGGCUCAACCUCGAGCUGUCGGUUGAAACCACCUUGCUAGAGUCCGGAAGAGGAGAGUGGAAUUCCUGGUGUAGCGGUGAAAUGCGCAGAUAUCAGGAAGAACACCCGUGGCGAAGGCGGCUCUCUGGGACGGUACUGACGCUGAGACGCGAAAGCGUGGGGAGCGAACAGG